GCUACACAUGCAGUCGAACGCUGAAGCCUGGUGCUUGCACCGGGUGGAUGAGUGGCGAACGGGUGAGUAACACGUGGUAACCUGCCCCUGACUUCGGGAUAAGCCCGGGAAACUGGGUCUAAUACCGGAUACGACUGCCGGACGCAUGUCUGGUGGUGGAAAGUUUUUUCGGUUGGGGAUGGGCUCGCGGCCUAUCAGUUUGUUGGUGAGGUAAUGGCUCACCAAGACGACGACGGGUAGCCGGCCUGAGAGGGCGACCGGCCACACUGGGACUGAGACACGGCCCAGACUCCUACGGGAGGCAGCAGUGGGGAAUAUUGCACAAUGGGGGAAACCCUGAUGCAGCGACGCAGCGUGCGGGAUGACGGCCUUCGGGUUGUAAACCGCUUUCAGCAGGGAAGAAGCGCAAGUGACGGUACCUGCAGAAGAAGUACCGGCUAACUACGUGCCAGCAGCCGCGGUAAUACGUAGGGUACGAGCGUUGUCCGGAAUUAUUGGGCGUAAAGAGCUCGUAGGUGGUUGGUCACGUCUGCUGUGGAAACGCAACGCUUAACGUUGCGCGUGCAGUGGGUACGGGCUGACUAGAGUGCAGUAGGGGAGUCUGGAAUUCCUGGUGUAGCGGUGAAAUGCGCAGAUAUCAGGAGGAACACCGGUGGCGAAGGCGGGACUCUGGGCUGUAACUGACACUGAGGAGCGAAAGCAUGGGGAGCGAACAGGAUUAGAUACCCUGGUAGUCCAUGCCGUAAACGUUGGGCACUAGGUGUGGGGGGCAUUCCACGUUCUCCGCGCCGUAGCUAACGCAUUAAGUGCCCCGCCUGGGGAGUACGGUCGCAAGGCUAAAACUCAAAGGAAUUGACGGGGGCCC
rnacentral:rRNA from 1 species